rnacentral:rRNA from 1 species
UACGUAGGGUGCAAGCGUUAAUCGGAAUUACUGGGCGUAAAGCGUGCGCAGGCGGUUAUGUAAGACAGUUGUGAAAUCCCCCGGGCUCAACCUGGGAACUGCAUCUGUGACUGCAUAGCUAGAGUACGGUAGAGGGGGAUGGAAUUCCGCGUGUAGCAGUGAAAUGCGUAGAUAUGCGGAGGAACACCGAUGGCGAAGGCAAUCCCCUGGACCUGUACUGACGCUCAUGCACGAAAGCGUGGGGAGCAAACAGG